GUGGAUUAGAUACCCGGGUAGUCCACGCAGUAAACGAUGCCGACUAGGCGUGGGGGGACUUGACCCCCUCCGUGCCGAAGCUAACGCAUGAAGUCGGCCGCCUGGGGAGUACGGCCGCAAGGCUAAAACUCAAAGGAAUUGACGGGGGCCCGCACAAGCGGCGGAGCGUGUUCUUUAAUUCGUCGCAACGCGAAGAACCUUACCAGGGUUUGACAUCUCCCUGCAUGCCGCCGAAAGGUGGAGGCCUACGAGGGUGGGAGACAGGUGCUGCACGGUUGUCGUCAGCU
rnacentral:rRNA from 1 species